rnacentral:lncRNA from 1 species
AUCACCACCAUACUACCGCCAACCUUUCCACUACAAGCACCUUCUUUCCUAACUAUAAAUCCAACUCUUUUCACGUUUUUUAAUAAGUUUUAACAACAUCCAUCCUAAAUCCUUAUAAAAAUUUCAAAUUCAAGCUCGAACCCAAAGCUUCAAACUUGUUAAUGGUAUUUUUUGAAUUUUAUCAAAAUUAAUCACCUAAGUAACUUU